GAAAAACCUGGUCUAUGCCCUUCACUGUUUGUCUAAAUCUUGUAUUGGUACCCUCACUUGGAGUCUUGGUUGAGCUACUUUCAUGGGAAUUUCAAAAGGGAUACUGGACUGUAGGGAUAAAUCAUGGAGGACUUCAGCUGGGUGUGGCUAGGUGGAUGUUUUUCCAAUCUGGAAACAUUAAGAAUUCAUAGGGAUCAUCUCAUCAGGAUGAGUCACCCUCUUGACACUCAAAAACCUAGCCCAGCCUCCAGAUACUGAAGAGAAGAGCUUCUCAAACACUGAGCUAGCCUUGGCAGUGCCUGCAUCAACCUCAUCAUCUGUAUGAACAUCCCUGGAAAUUAUACUGCCAAAGUAAAUGAAAGACAGUGCUGGUGAUGAGAAGAUAACAUGAUGCAGAAGUCUUCAGUAGUAAGUGACCAUUGCUGUUGCUGUUUCAGACUCCAUUCCUUCUAAGGACUCCCUGCCAUGUCUGGAGGUGAGUGGUAUGGUCCUUAAAAAAGACUGUUCAGACACACAGGAAGCUACCAAAUCCCACUGCUCCUUCAGUCCAGUGAGAAGAUGAUCCUAUGGCCUGGGCCACCUGUGUGCAAGAUUGUGACUACAGCUCCCAAUGUAU